AGUAGAUAUGGCUCGUGGUGACCAUCAAUAUGAUGAUGAUGACUUCAUGGAGCCACCGCCACAGAAUCGUGGGGAUGAGAAGAAGAAGCGUCAGCGCAAUAGGGCUUUGCAAGAAUGACUGACUAUACUGACAGAGGGAUUUACUGAUGAGCAGAAGGCAGCUGGCGGUGAGAUGGGUAUGCAGGCUCUGGUGAAGGUUCGGUGCAUGAACCUAGUAAACCCUGUAUGCGAUUGGCUCGAUGAAAUAUGUGAGCCUGCGUCUAGGGAAUUCAUGAUUCCGGGAUGUGGAAGAUUGUCUUUGAAUGAGGAAUCUGUGUUCUGCACUUUGGGUGUCCCCCGUGGAGAAAUCAAAGUCCCUUAUGAGGUGAACAAUAAGAUUGAGGAAGCUUUGUUCGCCCGUUUGUUUCCUGGAAUGGCAUCCAUGCCUAAUACGACUGUACUAGCAACUUCGUUGGAGGGGAUGACAAACCAUGGCGAGGUUUUUAAGAUGAAGUUGCUCAUGUACUUGAUCUCGACUGUAUUUGCGCCUACCACAUCUCUUCUCCCAAGCAACAAGUGCCCCUAUCCUAGCGAAGCUGAAAGAUGUUAAAAAUAUGAAUUGGUGUAAAUUCAUUGCCGACUUCCUGCAUGAUGCAUUCUUAACUAAGAUGUACCAAAAGGGAUGUCGCUUGCAUCUAAUGCUCAUGUACGUCGAUAGUCUUGAUUUGUCCACUGUGGACUUCACUGAGAUAGGAGGCCCGCCGCCUCCACAUAAGUUUGUUGUCUCUGCAUGGACGUAUGAUGCUGCCAAGGCUGUACUUGCUGCAAACAGGGUAUC